AAGAAAAUCUCUUUCCUUGAAAAUACUGGGUGAACAGAGGGCAUUGGGAUUUCACACUGUCUACGGCUGGCAAGAAUAUGCGUAUUUCCAUGAAGCAAAGGAAAAGAAGAAAAAAUGACAGAC